rnacentral:tRNA from 1 species
GGACGGAUGCCCGAGUGGCCAAAGGGAGCAGACUGUAAAUCUGCCGGCGUCAGCCUUCGAAGGUUCAAAUCCUUCUCCGUCCA